ensembl:miRNA Mir6215 microRNA 6215
ACCCCUGCCCCUGUGCUCUAGCACACUGCUCAGAAAACGUUUAGGGUUGCAGAGCCAGGGUGGGGGG